CGCCAUCUACGUCGUUGGUGAAACAAUCCAUAUGGAGGACAGCACACGCCUAAAGUAUCCCUCAUGUAUUAGAAAAAUAUUAAACAUAUAGGAAAAAUAUUUCAUAUGUAUAAAAAUGUAGACGCUGAAACGUAUAUUUGUAAAAAUAAAUCAUGUACUUGCAAAAUGUUAAAGGUGUAUAAGAAAAAUAUUUCCUAUAUGUAUGAAAAA
rnacentral:lncRNA from 1 species